rnacentral:rRNA from 1 species
AACGAACGCUGGCGGCAGGCCUAACACAUGCAAGUCGAACGUGAAGCCACCUUCGGGUGGUGGAAAGUGGCAGACGGGUGAGUAACGCGUGGGAACGUGCCUUUCGGUUCGGAAUAACCCAGGGAAACUUGGGCUAAUACCGGAUACGCCCUUCGGGGAAAGAUUUAUCGCCGAAAGAUCGGCCCGCGUCGGAUUAGCUAGUUGGUAGGGUAAUGGCCUACCAAGGCGACGAUCCGUAGCUGGUCUGAGAGGAUGACCAGCCACACUGGGACUGAGACACGGCCCAGACUCCUACGGGAGGCAGCAGUGGGGAAUAUUGGACAAUGGGCGAAAGCCUGAUCCAGCCAUGCCGCGUGGGUGAAGAAGGCCCUAGGGUUGUAAACCCCUUUCAGCGGGGAAGAUAAUGACGGUACCCGCAGAAGAAGCCCCGGCUAACUCCGUGCCAGCAGCCGCAGUAAUAC